rnacentral:tRNA from 1 species
AGCGGGAAGUAGCGGUAAAGUCCGGUAUGCUUAAAUCGUAAAACUCAUAACCCGGAGGUCGUAGGUUCAAAUCCUGCCCCCGCUACCA